CUCUCUUUUCGGACUCAGCCCGCCUGCACCCAGGUGAAAUAAACAGCCUUGUUGCUCACACAAAGCCUGUUUGGUGGCCUCUUCACACAGACAUGUGUGACAUUUGGUGCCAAAGACCCAGGACAGGAGGACUCCUUCGGGAGAACGGUCCCCUGUCCUCGCCCUUACUCUGUGAGGAGAUCCACCUAUGACCUCGGGUCCUCAGACCAACCAGCCCAAGGAACAUCUCACCAAUUUCAAAUCAGAUUGGCUCUCCACUCAACCCCUAGAAGCUGAGCCUUUGAGACAGCAUCAGCAAGCUCCUUCCUCCUCUGGCUUCCCCUGGCACCAGCAGGAGGUGACAGGCCGCAGAUCAGAUUGCACUGCCCAAGAAGGAGCCGGCUUGAAGAGCAAGCAAGUUGGGCACCUGAGAUGAGAUCCAGCACUAGGCGUAGAAAAUGAACUCUGCUUGUGCCCCAUGCCCUAGACCAUGGCAUGGCCAGGGUCUGUCCCCAUGUCUGUGUUUCCUAAAGUUGGUGUGCACCCUCCUCAUUAUUCAGCUGUCAUUGCAUUUGCCUGGGAAGACUUCACUUGCAGAGCCCAGAGCAGCCAGCUUAAUAGCUCCUGUGGUGGUUUUUAAAAUAUGUCCACAUGUCCUUGGAGAUGCUUUACAUCAAUUAGUGGAGUCUAAGGCCAGGCGCUGUGGCUCACAUCUGAAAUCCCAGCACUUUGGGAGGCUGAGGUGGGCGGAUCACCUGAGGU